rnacentral:rRNA from 1 species
GAUGAACGCUAGCGGCAGGCCUAAUACAUGCAAGUCGAACGGUGUCUUCGGACAUAGUGCCGCACGGGUGCGUAACACGUAUGCAACCUACCUUACAUUGGGGGAUAGCCUUUCGAAAGGGAGAUUAAUACCGCAUAAGACAGUAACUAGGCAUCUAGUAGCUGUUAAAGAUUUAUCGAUGUAAGCUGGGCAUGCGACCAAUUAGCUUGUUGGUGAGGUAAUGGCUCACCAAGGCUAUGAUUGGUAGGGGAACUGAGAGGUCAAUCCCCCACACUGGCACUGAGAUACGGGCCAGACUCCUACGGGAGGCAGCAGUAGGGAAUAUUGGGCAAUGGACGCAAGUCUGACCCAGCCAUGCCGCGUGCAGGAUGAAGGCGUUAUGCGUUGUAAACUGCUUUUAUACAGGAAGAAACGACUCUUGCGAGAGGCAUUGACGGUACUGUAUGAAUAAGCACCGGCUAACUCCGUGCCAGCAGUCGCGGUAAUACGGAGGGUGCAAGCGUUGUCCGGAUUUAUUGGGUUUAAAGGGUGCGCAGGUGGUUUAUUAAGUCAGUGGUGAAAGACGGUCGCUCAACGAUUGCAGUGCCAUUGAAACUGGUAGACUUGAGUAAAGUAGAGGUGGGCGGAAUUGAUAGUGUAGCGGUGAAAUGCAUAGAUAUUAUCAAGAACUCCAAUUGCGAAGGCAGCUCACUUGGCUUUUACUGACACUCAUGCACGAAAGUGUGGGUAUCAAACAGGAUUAGAUACCCUGGUAGUCCACACUGUAAACGAUGAUAACUAGGUGUCGGCCGAAUCUGGUCGGUGCCACAGCGAAAGCGUUAAGUUAUCCACCUGGGGAGUACGCCGGCAACGGUG